rnacentral:rRNA from 1 species
GACAGAGGCCACAAGCGUUAGGCGGAAUCACUGGGCUUAAAGCGUGUGUAGGCGGAUCGUUAAGUGCCUUGUGAAAUCCCACGGCUUAACCGUGGAACGGCUGGGCAUACUGGCGGUCUUGAGCCACUUAGGGGUCGCUGGAACAAACGGUGGAGCGGUGAAAUGCGUAGAUAUCUGGAGGAACACCGGUGGCGAAGGCGGCAUCCUGGACCAACACUGACGCUGAGGAGCGAAAGCCAGGGGAGCAAACGGG